CACAGAGGCGGGGCAAAGCAGGCUGUGAGCUUUAGCCCUCUUGUGUGCCGGGCUCCGUUCUAGCUACUGCAGCAUCUGGUCAGCCUCAGGGGCACCCUCAUCCCCACCCCAUCUUGAAGAAAUAGAGAAUGUGCCAACUCCUGUCCCACCUCUAGACCUGGGAGACUAUCAUGGGAGAGAAAGGAAGCAGUGAAUCCGCAGAGUCCUGGACCCUUCUCUUCGAGUCCAACAGAAUGCUCUCCGGCCUGCACAUGGUGCUGGCUAGGAUCCCAGAGAAGUCACCAACAUGAAUGGAUUCCUUGCCCUGCCACCCCAGCCCCCAGCUGAUGAAGGAUAGCCCAGCCCUGAGGCAACAGGAGGCCUGCUUCUGAUCAACCCUGGCAGCUUCCUCCUUCCUUUGGAGAAAGUGCCAACGCCAACCUGGAGACUCAGGCCAAGGCUCAACUCUGCCUGCUCUGCCCUACACCCCUACCAGAUGUUUUCAUGUAUGUAUACCUGUGUGCUGGAUGUGUGCCUGCUAACCGUAAAGGCGUGAAAAGGAUAUCAGAUGCCCUGGAACCGGAGUUAUUGGCAGUUGGAAGCCACCAUGUGGGUGCUAGGAAUUGACCCCAGGUCCUCUGGAAGUGCAGUCAGUGCUCUAAACCACUGAGCUAUGUCUUAGCCCUAAGAUUCUGUCUUAAACAAAUAACAAAGCACCUAGUAUUGUGGGGUAUGCCUGUAAUCCCAGUGCGAUGAUUUGGAUAUGCUUUGGCCCAGGGAAUGGCACUAUUAGAAGGUAUGGCCCUGUUGGAGUAGGUGUAGCCUUGUUAGAGUGGGUGUGUCACUGUGGGCAUGGGUUUUAAGACCCUAGUCUUAGUUGCUUGGAAACCAGUAUUCUGCUAGCAGCCCUCAGAUGAAGAUGUAGAACUCUCAGAUCCUCCUGCACCAUGCCUGCCUGGAUGCUGCCAUGUUCCUGCCUUGAUGAUAAUGGACUGAACUUCUGAACCUGUAAGCCAGCCCCAAUUAAAUGAUGGC